GGGGGCUAUAGCUCAGGGGUAGAGUGUUUGACUACAGAUCAAAUGGUCCUUGGUUCAAAUCCAAAUGCUCUCU